UACAUGGGGUGCAAACGUUGCUCGGAAUUAUUGGGCGUAAAGCGCGCGCAGGCGGUCUUUUAAGUCUGAUGUGAAAGCCCACGGCUCAACCGUGGAGGGUCAUUGGAAACUGGGAGACUUGAGUGCAGAAGAGAAGAGUGGAAUUCCACGUGUAGCGGUGAAAUGCGUAGAGAUGUGGAGGAACACCAGUGGCGAAGGCGACUCUUUGGUCUGUAACUGACGCUGAGGCGCGAAAGCGUGGGGAGCAAACAGG
rnacentral:rRNA from 1 species